rnacentral:tRNA from 1 species
GGGUAGAUUAGCUCAGUUGGUUAGAGCGCCACAUUUCCGUGGAGGUCGUAGGUUCGAAUCCUACAUUACCUU